rnacentral:lncRNA from 1 species
CCCAACCAUUGAACCACACUUAAACCAUAAUCCCUAAACCUUAAAAUAGUAACUCAUAAACAUUAAACCCUUAACCAUAUAACGUAAACCCUAAACUAUAAUGAUAAUUAAUUCAAUAUUUUAAAAUUAAUACUAUCUCUUUCACAAUUAUAUAAGAAAAUAUUUAACAUAUAAAUUAAAAACUAAUUGGUCAUAUACCAAAAAUAAUUACGGGAAAACGGGGAAAAUGAUAGAUGGGAUUACGGGAUAUUGACUGGAAGGCCCGUGGGAGGGGUGAAUCUUGGCAGUGGGAGGGUUUAGGGUUUUAGGGGAUAUAAUUUAGUGUUUAGGGUUUUUAAAGUUUAAAGGUUUAUUCUUUUAGGGGUUAUAGAUUAGUGUUUAUGAUAUUUUUUGGGUUUAAGAUUUUAGGGGUUAUAUGACUUUUAGCGGCAUUUUACCAAAAGCGCCGCCAAUGCUCCGGCUUUUAGCGGCGUUUUACCAAAAGCGCUGCUAAUGCUUUGUUUUUUAGUGGCGUUUUAC